rnacentral:rRNA from 1 species
AUACGUAGGUGGCAAGCGUUGUCCGGAAUUAUUGGGCGUAAAGCGCGCGCAGGUGGUUCCUUAAGUCUGAUGUGAAAGCCCCCGGCUCAACCGGGGAGGGUCAUUGGAAACUGGGGAACUUGAGUGCAGAAGAGGAUAGUGGAAUUCCAAGUGUAGCGGUGAAAUGCGUAGAGAUUUGGAGGAACACCAGUGGCGAAGGCGGCUGUGUGUUCUGUAACUGAAACUGAGGCGCGAAAGCGUGGGGAGCAAACAGGAUUAGAUACCCUGGUAGUCCACGCCGUAAACGAUGAGUGCUAAGUGUUGGGGGGUUUCCGCCCCUCAGUGCUGCAGCUAACGCAUUAAGCACUCCGCCUGGGGAGUACGGUCGCAAGACUGAAACUCAAAGGAAUUGACGGGG